UCGGAAUUAUUGGGCGUAAAGGGUGCGUAGGCGGUCUGACAAGUCUGAUGUGAAAUCUAUGGGCUCAACCCAUAGUCUGCAUCGGAAACUGUCGGGCUGGAGUAUGGGAGAGGUGAGUGGAAUUUCCGGUGUAGCGGUGAAAUGCGUAGAUAUCGGAAGGAACACCUGUGGCGAAAGCGGCUCACUGGACCAUUACUGACGCUGAUGCACGAAAGCUAGGGGAGCAAACAGG
rnacentral:rRNA from 1 species